UUGCUAGAAGAUGACGAGCGGCGGACGGGUGAGUAACGCGUAGGAAUCUGCCUAGUAGUGGGGGACAACAUGUGGAAACGCAUGCUAAUACCGCAUACGCCCUACGGGGGAAAGGAGGGGAUCUUCGGACCUUUCGCUAUUAGAUGAGCCUGCGUGAGAUUAGCUAGUUGGUGGGGUAAAGGCCUACCAAGGCGACGAUCUCUAGCUGGUCUGAGAGGAUGAUCAGCCACACUGGGACUGAGACACGGCCCAGACUCCUACGGGAGGCAGCAGUGGGGAAUAUUGGACAAUGGGCGCAAGCCUGAUCCAGCCAUGCCGCGUGUGUGAAGAAGGCCUUAGGGUUGUAAAGCACUUUCAGGAGUGAGGAAGGGUGUAUGGUUAAUACCCGUAUAUUUUGACGUUAACUCCAGAAGAAGCACCGGCUAACUCUGUGCCAGCAGCCGCGGUAAUACAGAGGGUGCGAGCGUUAAUCGGAAUUACUGGGCGUAAAGCGCGCGUAGGCGGUUUGUUAAGUCGGAUGUGAAAUCCCAGGGCUCAACCUUGGAAUGGCACCCGAUACUGGCAGGCUAGAGUACGGUAGAGGGGUGUGGAAUUUCCUG
rnacentral:rRNA from 1 species